rnacentral:rRNA from 1 species
AUGUAUCGUGAUGUUGCACAUUUCACCACAAGAUGCUCCACAUGUUGCAAAGCUAAGUCACAAUCUCAAUCCCAUGGUUUACAUAUGCCCUUACCUAUUCCACAUCAACCUUGGGAAGAUAUUAGCAUGGAUUUCAUACUUGGCUUACCUAGAACUCAAAAUGGCAAGGAUUCAAUAUUUGUUGUCGUAGAUCGCUUCUCUAAGAUGGCUCAUUUUAUCCCAUGCAAUAAGAUAGACGAUGCUUCACAUGUUGCCAAUCUCUUAUGUAGGGACAUCUUGAGGUUGCACGGCGUGCCAAAGACAAUUGUGUCGGAUCGGGACGUCAAGUUCUUAAGCUACUUUUGGAAGACACUUUGCGCCAAGCUCGGAAUCAAGCUCCUCUUCUCCACCGCAUAUCAUCCUCAAACCGAUGGCCAAACAGAAGUCACCAACCAGACGCUUGCCACUCUCCUACGCGUGUUGAUCAAGAGGAAUAUCAAGGAGUGGGAGGAGUGCCUACCUAUCACCGAGUACGCCUACAACCGUGCAAGACACUCUACAACCGGCAAGUCCCCCUUCAAGGUUGUCUACGGCUUCAACCCUUUGUCGCCAUUGGACAUCCUUCCUCUACCGCUUCAAGAACAAGAAAACAUGGACGCUAGUUCAAGAGCCACCUACCUCAAGAAGAUGCAUGAAGAAACACGUUCUACGAUCGAGCGACACGUACAACAACUCGCCUCCAAGCUCAAAAACCACAAGUCUCCAAUGGUGUUCCAACCGGGUGAUCAAGUAUGGCUACAUCUACGCAAGGACCGUUUCCCCAAGGAAAGAAAGUCCAAGCUACUCCCGAGAGCCGACGGGCCCUUCAAGGUGCUCGCAAGCUACAACGACAACGCCUACAAGGUUGACCUCCCACGAGACAAGUACUAUGUGAGCGACAUCUUCAACGUCAAAGACUUGGCCAAGUACCAUGGUGAUGACAAUCACGAUACGUGGUCGGAUCUCUCCCAAGGGGGGGGGGGAGAUGAUGCGGAGCAUCCUUCCUCCAUCCCCAUGGACUCUAUACCAACACAUCAAGCCCCACGUGGACCUGUGACAAGAGUGAGAGCACGUGCUUUGGAAACCGAGGUGAACUCCUUCCUACUUGACUUGCAUACGGAUACGAAUGGGACUUGGUUGCUACCUCACCAAAAUAUGCUAUUUCUCAUUAGGUACGAAGAGGAACACUACCAUGAAGCUCAGGAGCAUCACCAAGGAGAAGGAGGACCACCCCAACGCCACGCGAACCAAGACGGAGCACAACAACAGCAACUCUGGAAGUCCCAGGUGACCCCGUGCGCACGGGCCCCCGAGACCCCGUGCCCAUGGACUGCCCAGGAAGUUGGCGCUGGAGCACCCCAUGCGCACGGGCGUGUACUGUGCCCACGGGACCCCGUGCGCACGGGCCCAACUUACCCUGUGCGCACAGGCCUCCCAGGAUGGCCGGCUGAGACUACACCUCGCCCUCCUCUUCAUCUCCUUCGACUCCAAGGCUAUAUAAGUCGUACCUAG